GACGAACGCUGGCGGCGUGCUUAACACAUGCAAGUCGAACGGAAAGGCCCUGCUUUUGUGGGGUGCUCGAGUGGCGAACGGGUGAGUAACACGUGAGUAACCUGCCCUUGACUUUGGGAUAACUUCAGGAAACUGGGGCUAAUACCGGAUAGGAGCUCCUGCUGCAUGGUGGGGGUUGGAAAGUUUCGGCGGUUGGGGAUGGACUCGCGGCUUAUCAGCUUGUUGGUGGGGUAGUGGAUUACCAAGGCUUUGACGGGUAGCCGGCCUGAGAGGGUGACCGGCCACACUGGGACUGAGAUACGGCCCAGACUCCUACGGGAGGCAGCAGUGGGGAAUAUUGCACAAUGGGCGGAAGCCUGAUGCAGCAAAGCCGCGUGGGGGAUGACGGCAUUCGGGUUGUAAACCGCUUUCGCCUGUGACGAAGCGUGAGUGACGGUAAUGGGUAAAGAAGCACCGGCUAACUACGUG
rnacentral:rRNA from 1 species